GAUUCCUGACGCGGCGCCUUCUUCUUUCUCUUGCCUCUUGGAAUUCGGGUGAAUGGAGGUCUAGGAUCAAGGUCCCGCUGACUAAAUUUUCAUCGUGAAUUGUCGUUCUUGGCAUGCCCAACUCGGUUUGCUUUUGGAUCUCUUCACUUUUUGCCUUGCCGGAUUCAUAUGAAACCUAUCUAGAAUUGAACUUUGUUUCACAGGCUUAACUUCAAGCAUCAGGUGGGUGCUCCUCCAGUCUAACUUCAAGCAUCUUUUUCAUUCUAGCUAAUACUUGGAAAACAGACAUCUUGUAUCGAGAAUUUAAUCUUAAUUAGCCUCCGUUAAUAAUUUUGCUGGGCAUCUUUAAUUCCUUUAAAGUUAUACAGUUGUUGAAUGAAAUGACCACGUGUCUCACGGAUUAGUAUACAUACCCUGCCAUCUGCUUGUCGAAUUUUUACUCUAUGACACAAUUCUUUAUGUGCUCAAAAUUAUCUGGCAUGUUACUUUUUAUUUUAAUCUAUUUAUCAUCACGUUUCUCAGUGCAGUGUGAUUUGCCUAAUUAUGUUUUUUCCCCCUUACAAUAUUUCAGGAAUUCCAAGUUCUCCCUAGAAUUAGUCAUUCGAUUAAGAGUCUAGCAUUUUAAGGUUUGUUUUCAACAGUAUCAAUUAACAGCUCUUGGGUCUUAAGUAGAUCUUGUAUGGGCUUGAUCUUCCAUGUUUGGAGCCAUGCCUUUAUAGCAUGCUCCUCAAACUAACUGGCUGCCAACUUCCUUCAUCAUUAAGAUAGACAAACUUCACCAGGAAAACGUUCCUUGAUUUCUCAUGCUGGCUGAAUGUGCAACUUCUUUCGGUGCUUUCCUUCUUUGAUGCAUAUUCAAAAAGCUAGCAAAUUUCUUGGAGAACCAUUGUCUGCAAGUUGGAUUCAGCAACUACGGAGAAAGGUCAGUAUCUCAAAUGAAAUUUAGGACAUCGACUUUAAUCUUAGGUUAAUACCAGCUAUUCUGUCGAGCAUAAUUUCUUCCCCAAAAAAGCUCAAACUCUAAGAACGCCUAAUAAGCUAGACGAGUAAUUUCCUUGAGAUCUCUGCUGCGGUUAGUUUAAAUGGUUUCAUCAAAAGAUCUAACAUGUGUUUCACAUAGGUAUAUAUUGAAUAUUUAUCUGUAAAGCCAAUUCCAGGUUACUUAGGAAGUUUGAAGCACAGAUGCAAGAAGAUUUUUGUCACUCAAACUCGCCUUACAUGUAGAUAACAACUGCUGGUAUAGAAGUAAAGAGAUUUUCUAGCAGCUGAACAGUUUUCCAGCUAGGCUGUUUGGUAACAGCCUCGAAAAAUCUUAAAUAUAUUAUAUAAUUUAUCAGAUAGAUAAGAGGAAGAGAUGAUGAGUUUGAAUGCAUCUGGGAUUUGUUUAUAAGUUGAUUACAAGUUGAUUAUAAGAGAUGAUGAGUUUGUAUCCAAAACCCUGUGUGAGAUGAAAGGAAAUAAGCUAGAGACUUCAAAGAUGAUUAUAAGUUGAUCGGUUCUAUGGUUUCUGGAUUUGUUUUAGCUGUCAUUUGUGUCUGCAGAUCCUAAAGUCCACUGGAGAUUUGAGCUGUGCCACGUGAUACAGGACCUUGAAGAAGAGUGUGCCUUUUGAUUGCGGUUUCUGUUAAUGGGUACCCAUGAAGCUGGAUCAUUAGAAUAGGUAUUAUGCAAUAUACAAGAUCCAACCCUGCACCUAUGCUUUGAUAAAUUUAAUUUAAAUGCAUAUAAGUUCUGUUUCGACUAUGAUAUCUGCUAGGACUAUGGUGUCGUCCAGAAAUUAGGGAAAUGUUAUCACAUAAUUAUUUGCUUCUGUUUUUGAUAGUUUUUAUUGGAUGCUAACAGUCUUUUGUGCUCCCAAGGAUUUUAUUGGUAUGUUUAGUUUGUUUUUUGGCAAUAAUAUUGACAUGGCUUGUUGCUUUGUUUAUGGCAUUUUUGUUAUCAAAAUCAGAACAAGUAUCUUGGACAGUGCAAGUUACAUAUGAACAACUACUUUCAUCCUUGAUCUCUAUACCUCCGUGGGCAUUUAUUCUGCAUUCUCGCUUCUCAUAGAUUCUGCAGAUAGUACAUGGUUCCAUUUGUUUCUCGGGUCACCAUCAGUGCCUUCCAUUAAUUCAGAGGUAGAGGACAAACUAGUCAAUAAGUUUAACGCUUGAAUUUGAUGGAUCACAUCGUCCUGCUGCACGCUUGUUUCCUGUGCAUGAUUGAGUCACUCAUCAUUAGAUGUCUGUAGCGAGUUCUUCUUACAAGGUGAUAAAGUUCGACCGUAAUAUCUACAUUAAAGCACCUCUUUUUUGGAUAUCAGGAGCGAUGGUUUACACGACUUAUUAUAAUGUUUGUAUAAGCUGUUUUUGUUGAAAUCUUGUUCUGAUUUCUGAAUUAGUCGGAAGAAAGUUUUGUACGAAACACACAACUGGUGUAAUGGCAUUCUGCGGUUUUCCAUCGUUUCAGAUGAUGUAUGGUACUGCAAAUGGAUGUUGACCGUCCAUUAUGGCCGCGAACCUUGGAUCUACUAAAGGACGAAACCGGGUAUUAAGCUUCAAAUUAUCCCGAACGGUGCUUAUUAGACGCGAUGUCUAUCGGAUUUAUUGGUUCUCUUGAUUCUUUAUCGGUUGUAUUAUGACCCAUGUCUGACUCGAAUCCGAACAGAUUAAGCACCGGUAUAUGCCCACGCGGGCUGUUGCGUGAGGGAAUACGUACUCUACGGAUUGUAACGGUCGUGCCCGAUCUGAUUUCGGAAAUUCUUCGGAGGCACGAAAGAACGAGCGAACCAAAACAUCUGUAGAAUCUCCCAGAAACUCUCUUUCCCCUCCUGCGACGAGCCAAGCGAUCGAAUCGAAGUCGAAACCCCACCUUCUCCUCCUCCUAGCCGGCAUCGACGACAGCAAUGAAGCGCUCCGCCGACGACCGCGACCUUCGGAAGCUGCCAUCGGCCGCAGACGCCAAGCCCGUCUUCAUGUCCAAGGCCGAGCGCCAGCGCCGCGAGAAGGUCGUCGCCGAGCACCGCCGAGCUGCCCUCGAUCUCCUCCGCAGCCCUCCGACUCCAGCCGCCGACGCGACCACGACCGGGACUGUGAUCGUCGCGUCCGAAACCGUGAGCGCGAGCGGGAUAAGGAGCUCGACGCCAACAGGGAGCAAUACUUGGGGUCCAAGAAGCCCAAGAAGCAGCGGGUGAUUAAGCCUAGCGAAAAGUUCCGUUUCUCAUUCGAAUGGGAGAACACUGAAGCCACCUUCCGCGACAUUAACGCCUUAUACCAGAAUCCCCACGAGGCGCGGGUCCUCUUCGGCCGUGGUUUUAUCGCCGGCAGCGACCAGUGCGAGCAGAAGAAGCCGGCCGCUCUUCACGAAAAGGAGACACGGGAGGAGAUCCGCCGCAAGGAGGGUGUGGAGGAGCGGCCGGAGGAGGCCGCCGCUGACCUAUAUGAUACCUUCGAUAUGCGUGUCGAACGUCAUUGGUCUGAGAAGAAGAUUGAGGAAAUGACUAAGCGGGACUGACGCGUCUUCAUGAUCCUCAGUGGCGCCUUUAACGUAGCACCGGAGGAGGGUGUUCCAGAGGAAGACGCGGGGCUUGUGCAUAUCGUCGAACAGGCUGCGGGCGUAGGCCACGUGUCCGGAAGACAUCAGAGAAAGCAGGAUCCGGGUGAGGAGGCUGUUCUUGCGGGCGAGGCCGGUGGCGAGGAGAAGGGCGUGGCUCUGUUUGAGGUGGGCGGGGUAGGAGUGGGAUAAUAUGAGUGCCGCGAAGCCGGCUUUGGUUGUCGGGGUGGGGGAAGGCUGUGUGCCAGCGACGAGGAGGGCGCUGCGUCGGGUCGGAGCGAUCGUGGUCGGUCCCACCCACUGCCAUAUGGAUCUCGCUGGUUGGGCGUCGCCGGUAUCUUUCCGACGUAUCUCGAUGGCUUCUGCGGCGGGUCGUCAAGCCGGAUCUUGAUCGAUUCGGGCUCCUUCCCCUGCCUCGCCUUCAUCCUCGCCGGUGGUAAGCCUAAACCCUUAUUUUCUUGAUCGCGAUGGCCCAUUCUUUUAUCUUGUUCCAUUGUUACAUCACAUGUUUGCCGCUUUCUUCGUCUUGGAGCUUGUAAUCGGAUGAUCAUAUCCGAUGAUAGUGCAGUCAUUUGGGUCGGUUAGUAACGCAGAAUUGUUGGUAGUCGUGCUGACGGGUUCGAUGUUAUAGCAAAAGCGCAGGGUUAAGGAAUGUAGUCGUGCAAUGUUGGGAUUAGCUUACGUUUGUUGCCCUAUCUACAAAUCAGUAAGUCUGGUUUGUUGGCGAUUAGAUGGCUAGAUAAGUUGUUGAUAGAUAAUACAUUGCUUCGAAGCCCAAUGGAGAGGUAUCUGUUGACAAGUGCCAAAACUAAUUAAUUUUUUAUUUUAAAAAUAUUGAACCAUUUCUAGAUUUGAGCCAUGCUAAUUUUCUUUGGAUCGUUUCAAUUUUAUCAUUGUACCUAAAUUUCUAUAAUAAUUUUGAGAUGUUUUCUUUACAGUUUGUCGGUAUAAACCCUACUAGAAAUAUUUCUUUCGGGCACAACUGCUGGUCACGUUAACUGAUAUCAUUGGCAUCAUGUGAAAGGUUUAGAGAAGAACCAAACUGGAGUUUACUUUCUCCUAUAUGAUACUUGGCAGGGUUGGAGCACCUUUAGAUUUGUAUGCCUAGUGGGCUCUAUUUGACUUGUGACUAUGUAGCUAGACAAUAGUUAAGAUUGCUCAACUGUAACUUGUAAAAGCCAUGCCAGAAAUAGAAGUAGAACAAUGAAUAUAUCAUUUUUUUAUCUCGAAAAACAUCUCUUCUACUUAUUUUCCCACAGAAUUGGAGAAAUUAUCUUUCGAUGGAUGAUUUUUUUUUGCUUUGCUGUAGGAGAGGGGGUCGAGCGGUCCUUGAGUAAGGUACUCAUUUGGAAAACCUUAACAUUUAAACUUGGCGAACAUGGAUACAACUAAAAUCAGUUGAACUUGGCAUUAACUUGGUUGGGUUGGGUCAAGAGUUAGCACCACUUGCCAAUAUGUUGACACAAGGCUAAUUAGCUUGAUGUUGGACAGGAUGAGCACCGUCGGGACCAAAUAGCAGACCUGUCUCUUGAUAUGUCUAAAAACUUCAGAACUUUGGGCUUCAGACUCUUCUUGUUCUUACAUUCAAGGAAAACUAACUAGUGUUCACCCAGAAAGGAGCCUAUGGUAAUAGGUCUAAGUUGUCAUGUGUGCCAAGGCUUGCAAGCCUAGAAUAAUAGGUCUAAGUUGUUGUGAAUGUUCCAGCCUACCAGCGUGCAGAAAGCUGGACGUCUUCCAGCACACUGGCUGUGCCAUCUGGUACAUCCAAUAUAGUACAUAUACUGCUUGGUACAGGCCCAGUACCAAGUGGUUUCUUCUUUUCUUUUCAGUUUUUCUAAGAAUUUUUUUGAGACUAGAUAUGUUCCAAUAUAUCGACACUUGAUACAUUGAUAAUCAAUCCACGCCUUGACCGAUACACUACUGCCAUACAUAAUUGUGACUCUUGGUGUGUACCUGCAAAUUUAUCCUCUUGAUUCCAGACCUCUUAUUUGAACAAUGCUUAUUUAAGAAUGGUUGAUUGCGAAACCAUGCUUCUUAGUGAGAUAUGUCAUAUCUUAAGAUCUACCAUUCUCUUGCCUUCCUAGGUGCUUGGAAUAAGUUAUAUAGGACUUGGUUCAUUGAGUUGUUCCUUAGUUCCGGCAGUUAUAGAAAUGCAUCAAACAACUUGCACUGAAGUUUGCUUUUCCUAGAUAACUCUUGUUGAUUCUUCUUUAGCUGCACGUGACAUCUGUUGGUCGCCUGAUGGCUUUUGAGAUUUGUUUAGAUGGUUUGCAGAACUGUUGGUCGGCUACAGGAAACCGAAUGGUAAAUGGUAUCAGCUAACUUGAGAUUUGGUAUCCUUGCAAACAAAUAUAGUGUCAAUUUGGUCAAUUUAUUGUGCUACUAAUUAUGUCAAGGAUACUAAAAAAAUGUCCCUUUGUCAAUAAGCUAGGAUGAUGGUAUCAGUUAUAUUGACACAAAAAAGAUCAUAUGAGUGAUCAGUGUUUUUUUUUUAUAAUUGAAACAAGGUGACAAACUCUCAAGUUGCUGGAUCCUAGAUUAUUGCAAGUUCAUUUGGAAUUAAUUUUGGUUGGUGUGAUUUCCUCCAAGUAAUAGAAAAUUUGUAUAACGUGCAGUAGCUACGUUUGUUAACAUGACUCUUCAGUAUUGCAUAAUACCAAAAAAGUUGUGUUUAAUCUGUUAGCGGGGCUUUGCGUGAUCACUUGUUGCCAUCAGAAUUUUCCUGUACUUGAAGACCUGCCGCUUGGUGGAAUUUGAUUAGAACGAUUGGUUUGAUGGUGACAUGUUAGGUGGCUUAAUGCAGCAAUGCUGUCGAGUACAGUGGUUUAAGGCUGCAAUGUCAAUCACUUCUGAUAAGGUUUUGAUACAUCUCUGUCAGUGUGAAUUAGGUAGAGCUAAAUUUGGUCUUUUAGCCGAUAAAAUUGUUUGAUAAUAUUUGACUUGGCUUCUCAGAGAAGGCGUUUGCCGUGGGACAGGGUAGCUUUCAUAGGAAGGAGAAAGAAGAGAAUAUUUCUUUCUUACACGAGCAGGUUGGUGUGAUGUGGGCUACUCAGACUCCAUGAGGUAGGAAACAAACACUACUGUUUGUGUUGAAAUUGACAUAGUAUAUACAGGGUUAGGUGAUGUGCACGAUAUUUAAACAUACACUUGUUCCAAUAAAGAAUGACCAUACGAGCAGGUUGAUGCAUUUGGUGAUGUGUACUAUACAUGGAGGACCUUUCAAAGUCUAAGACUAGCUGAUCAGACAACCAGCGCACUUCCAAUUCUGUUCUCCUGCUCACUAAGAGAUGCCUCUUUGCUUUAGCUCUCCAGGAACAGAUUGUGAACAAGAGGUUUCCGAUUAGCUCAACAUUAUGCCAUUCUUCUAAAUAAAGUGAUCGUGGAAGGGACAGCUCGCCCGAUGUGUUAGACCCCAAAAUAGUGGUCCACUUGGUGUUCUAAAUGCCCUCAUCGAAGUCAGGGAAUGAAAUUUCCUUUUUUUCGGUGGGUUGAUUCUACACAAGUGGCCCGGAUUCAUUCAUCUGAAACAUCUCAGUAGCUGAGCGGAAUUAUGCAAUGAUGAGGUCGACAUCAAGAAUUGUGUUCAUACAAGCCUAUGUUGAGAGAGCUAUAUCCGAAGCAUGGAAUGUACUUGUCAAUGGUAUCAAUGAUCCAAAACUAGGUGCCUUUUGGUUGACACAUGGUACUGUGCCUUAUCUUUCUUCUGCCAGGGAAAGGAGAAGCGAGAGACAGCUGGACUUUACUGGACCAGGGGGUGAUUCACGUGAGCUGACACCGGCACAUUAAGUAAACUUGGUGUAAGAAAUGAGCAUGUGAACCUUGUAACAAAGUAGCAGCAUUUGAGCAGGAUUGGGCGGAUCGAACAGGCCGGACAACCUCUACAGCCAUUUGUCUACCACCGCCAACGAUGUUCUACGGUCCCAAGAGAUGCAUCCCUCGAGGAUUCCUCCCCAUCUCUGCAUUAUUUUUGUUGUUGUUUAUUUACUAAGGUUUCGCUCCGAUCCCCCCAGCCAUCGUGCAGCCCGCUCAGAGUGCCGGGAAGACGGUCGCAGUUGAUUUGACCCCUUAACCAGAGAUACCCCUUAGUGGUGGUGGGGCCCUAGUGGCCCUCUCCAGCCUGGACUGGUAGACCCAAUGCCUCUCACAUACUCUCUUCUCUUCUGACGCCUACCUGAUCUCGAUUGGGCUACUGUGGUGGGGACGACUCCACUAUCCUCCCAG